UACGUAGGGUGCAAGCGUUAAUCGGAAUUACUGGGCGUAAAGCGUGCGCAGGCGGUGAUGUAAGACAGGUGUGAAACCCCCGGGCUUAACCUGGGAACUGCAUUUGUGACUGCAUCGCUGGAGUGCGGCAGAGGGGGAUGGAAUUCCGCGUGUAGCAGUGAAAUGCGUAGAUAUGCGGAGGAACACCGAUGGCGAAGGCAAUCCCCUGGGCCUGCACUGACGCUCAUGCACGAAAGCGUGGGGAGCAAACAGG
rnacentral:rRNA from 1 species